UCUCUCUCUCUCUAUCUCCCGUUCCCUUCCUCCUCUCCAUCGUCUCUCUCUCUUCUUCUCCCUCUGUAAAACCUUAUAUCCCCAAUUCUGCCGCCCCGGCCCCUUCCUCCUCUCCGGCGAAUGUUGGCUCGCAGGACCAACCUCAUCGUCAAUGACACAUGUUCAUGGGCAGGUUCGUUAUUCUUAUUCUGACGAACUACUCUGCUCAGCCCCUAGGCUCACUGUCAUCGCCGCCCUCCCGUCUUCCACCGCCUCCAUCUCCUUCGCUCUCUCAUUGCAGUGGUGAAUUGAUAGGAAUAUCCGUAAGUUACAGUAAAAGAUACUGCACUCUCUCGCCUCCCUCGUUUGAAUCUCUGUCGUUGAAUUCCUCAAAUCUAGACAGAGAAAUCGAACUCAAUUUCAGAGAGAUAGAGAGGUAUCUUCACUUCUAAAGCUGUUCCUCACUGCAAUGGCAUUCAUAUCUUUCAUCGGAAGACUGCUUUUCUUCUCUCUCUUCAUUCUCUCCGCCUAUCAAGAGUAAGACCUGCUUCUGCCUUUUCUCACUCAGAUUUGCUCUUCAUUGUGCUCCGGAUUUGUGCAUCUUCUCUCGCUUCGUUUUAAUUCUGCUCUGGUUUGUCAUAAUUGUUGAUUUUCCAGUCUGAAAUUUGAAUGGCUAUUGCGUGUUGCUUAGGUUUGGAUCAUGGAGACCAGAUAUUUUUACUUGUUUCUUGCUUAGAGGUGUAGAGUUAUUUUGUAGAUUGGAUUUGUUUGAGCUCCAUUGAUGCUGAAUCAUGAAUGAAUGAAUGUUGUUUACUUUAGUAUCAGGAUGCUUAAUAGGAGUGAUUAGUCAGUUCAGGUUCAUCUCUUAUUUGUAUUGGAUUUUUCUUGUUUAUGAAGGAUCAGUAGUUGUUUAAUAUUAAUAGAAGAUUAGAUAGAUCAGUGAUAGCAGGUCUACCCUAUGCUUAGUUCACAUUUAUAAACACAUAUGCGACAUACUUAGUUCUCAAUCGUACGGUGAUUACAUAUACAAAAGAAAUAUAAACAUGUUGGUAUCCGUAUGGAUAAAAUUGUGGAAAUAGUUUUAUGUGUGAAUGUUAGUGAGCUUUAUCCUUGUCUCUGCGUAUCUUCUGGUCUUGUGAGCUUUAUCCUUGUCUCUGAUGGGUUUCAAUUCAUGUAAUAGAUGUUGCAUCAAGCAAUCGCAACUCCCAUCUUGUUCGACUUCUACAACUACGAACCAGACAAGAAAGAGUUUAAUCAGCUCUUUGUC
rnacentral:lncRNA from 1 species